UACGUAGGGGGCAAGCGUUGUCCGGAUUUAUUGGGCGUAAAGAGCGUGUAGGCGGCCAGGGAGGUCCGUUGUGAAAACUCGAGGCUCAACCUCGAGACGCCGAUGGAAACCCCCUGGCUAGAGUCCGGAAGAGGAGAGUGGAAUUCCUGGUGUAGCGGUGAAAUGCGCAGAUAUCAGGAAGAACACCCGUGGCGAAGGCGGCUCUCUAGUACGGUACUGACGCUGAGACGCGAAAGCGUGGGGAGCGAACAGG
rnacentral:rRNA from 1 species